rnacentral:rRNA from 1 species
CCUACGGGUGGCAGCAGUGGGGGAUAUUGCACAAUGGGGGGAACCCUGAUGCAGCGACGCCGCGUGGGUGAAGAAGCGCCUCGGCGCGUAAAGCCCUGUCAGCAGGGAAGAAAAUGACGGUACCUGAAGAAGAAGCACCGGCUAACUACGUGCCAGCAGCCGCGGUAAUACGUAGGGGGCAAGCGUUAUCCGGAUUUACUGGGUGUAAAGGGGGCGCAGACGGGGUUGCAAGCCAGGAGUGAAAGCCCGGGGCACAACCCCGGGACUGCUCUUGGAACUGCGUGGCUGGAGUGCAGGAGGGGCAGGCGGAAUUCCAGGUGUAGCGGUGAAAUGCGUAGAUAUCAGGAGGAACACCGGUGGCGAAGGCGGCUUGCUGGACUGCAACUGACGUUGAGGCCCGAAAGCGUGGGGAGCAAACAGGAUUAGAUACCCGAGUAGUC